AGUUUGAUCCUGGCUCAGGACGAACGCUGGCGGCAGGCUUAACACAUGCAAGUCGCACGAGAACGCUCCUUCGGGAGCAAGUAAAGUGGCGGACGGGUGCGUAACGCGUAGACAACCUGCCCUUGAGCGGGGGAUAACCACGGGAAACUGUGGCUAAUACCGCAUAACGUCCGGAUCCCGCAUGGGAACCGGAUCAAAGUCUUCGGACGCUCAGGGAUGGGUCUGCGUCGGAUUAGCUCGUUGGUGAGGUAACRGCUCACCAAGGCAACAAUCCGUAGCUGGUCUGAGAGGAUGAUCAGCCACACUGGCACUGAGACACGGGCCAGACUCCUACGGGAGGCAGCAGUGGGGAAUCUUAGGCAAUGGGGGAAACCCUGACCUAGCCAUGCCGCGUGGAGGAAGACACCCCUACGGGGCGUAAACUCCUUUUCUGCCGGAAGAAAACCCUGUUUUGCAGGGCGUGACGGUACGGCAGGAAUAAGCACCGGCUAACUCCGUGCCAGCAGCCGCGGUAAUACGGAGGGUGCAAGCGUUGUCCGGAAUCACUGGGCGUAAAGGGUGUGUAGGUGGGGCAGCAAGUCAGAGGUGAAAGCCCACGGCUUAACCGUGGAAGUGCCUUUGAAACUGCUGUUCUUGAGUCCUGGAGAGGUUGCCGGAAUUCGUGGUGUAGCGGU
rnacentral:rRNA from 1 species